rnacentral:lncRNA from 1 species
UGGUAGAGGCCCCGCCCACACAGGCGGCUGCAAUUUGGCCUUUAUUGUCAAGAGAUACACAGGAUGCAGACGCACUGACAGAAGCAGAUGACCCUGGGCUCCGCACCCAGUGAUGUCACCAAAGAUUCCAACCAAAGGAAGACUCUGGGUGUCCACUUGUGUGGAACCCAUACUUUGUGGUCCUUGCCUCUGGGUCUCUGCUGAGCACAUGGCCGGCCACCCACGAGCCCUUCCUUGGAUAUGUCUUGAGGACACAGAUGGGGCUGGUGGCUACAGUGGUUGGGUUGGGUAUGAGCUCCCGCUGUGGUACAGGGAGAAAGCUGAGGGACACUCGGGGUCCCAGCCCUACUUUGGUCCUAUUGGCUUCAGCCCCACACCAGGAAGUAAGCUGAGGUCAUGGACUGUGGCUGCCCACUUCCUUGUUGCUGGGAUACCUUUGUCCCUGUCAACAGUGGUCCCUGGGCCUUGGUGACUAGACCCUCUCGGAAGGCAGGGCCAGACAUGGAAAACGUGAGGCGAGAGGCUACUCGGCCCUUUGUCCCUUCGGGCACCCUCGAACUCUACUUCCCUGACCAUCUGUACCGGUGGGUCCCUGUAUCUGGGACCUCUCCUCACCCAGACCCCAGACCCCCUUCCCUAACCUGACCAUGUGGAAGGGGUUGGUGGAGGCAGUGUGCCCAGCCCCUCCUGGGUGUCUGUGUGUGGUCAGGGAGAUGAGGAGUCACAUUAGCUGAGGAACUUGAUUCUCCUGUUCACGUGCUGUAGUGGCAGCUAUGUGCCACAAUACCCUUCACUUUUCUUGUUCUGUGAGUUUCCUAAACUCAGAGAUCCUCCUGCCUUAGUGUGCUGAGUGUUUCCACCCACACCCAGCAGAGAAGUUCCAUUUCAUAGACCUGAUCAUAUUUUGGCCUUCUGUAGUGCUAAUGACAAGCCACCUCAGCCAUGGGGCCCUUCUUUGCAAGAGCCACUACUGCAGCCUGCAUGGCCUCCCAUGCACACUGUACUCAGGAGCACUAUCUCUGGGGAGUUACAGGCUAGUCAUACUCCAGCUUGGUCCCGGCUUGGUCCCUCCCUCUCCCUCCUUCCUCCAG